rnacentral:rRNA from 1 species
UCCGGUUGAUCCUGCCGGACCCGACUGCUAUCAGAGUGGGACUAAGCCAUGCGAGUCAACAUAGCAAUAUGUGGCAUACGGCUCAGUAACACGUAGUCAACAUGCCCAGGGGACGUGGAUAACCUCGGGAAACUGAGGAUAAACCGCGAUAAGUCACUGUUUCUGGAAUGGGUAGUGACUUAAAUCUAUAUGGCCCCUGGAUUGGACUGCGGCCGAUCAGGCUGUUGGUGAGGUAAUGGCCCACCAAACCUGUAACCGGUACGGGCUCUGAGAGGAGGAGCCCGGAGAUGGGCACUGAGACAAGGGCCCAGGCCCUAUGGGGCGCAGCAGGCGCGAAACCUCUGCAAUAGGCGAAAGCCUGACAGGGUUACUCUGAGUGAUUUCCGUUAAGGAGAUCUUUUGGCACCUCUAAAAAUGGUGCAGAAUAAGGGGUGGGCAAGUCUGGUGUCAGCCGCCGCGGUAAUACCAGCACCCCGAGUGGUCGGGACGUUUAUUGGGCCUAAAGCAUCCGUAGCCGGUUCUGCAAGUCUUCCGUUAAAUCCACCUGCUUAACAGAUGGGCUGCGGAAGAUACUAUAGAGCUAGGAGGCGGGAGAGGCAAGCGGUACUCGAUGGGUAGGGGUAAAAUCCGUUGAUCCAUUGAAGACCACCAGUGGCGAAGGCGGCUUGCCAGAACGCGCUCGACGGUGAGGGAUGAAAGCUGGGGGAGCAAACCGGAUUAGAUACCCGGGUAGUCCCAGCUGUAAACGAUGCAGACUCGGUGAUGAAUUGGCUUUAUGCCAAUUCAGUGCCGCAGGGAAGCCGUUAAGUUUGCCGCCUGGGGAGUACGGUCGCAAGACUGAAACUUAAAGGAAUUGGCGGGGAGCACCACAAGGGGUGAAGCCUGCGGUUCAAUUGGCAACGCCGGAAAUCUUACCGGGGGCGACAGCAGAAUGAAGGUCAAGCUGAAGACUUUACCAGACAAGCUGAGAGGAGGUGCAUGGCCGUCGCCAGCUCGUGCCGUGAGGUGUCCUGUUAAGUCAGGUAACGAGCGAGACCCCUGCCUCUAGUUGCUACCAUUAUUCUCAGGAGUAGUGGAGCUAAUUAGAGGGACUGCCGUCGCUGAGACGGAGGAAGGAGGGGGCUACGGCAGGUCAGUAUGCCCCGAAACCCUCGGGCCACACGCGGGCUGCAAUGGUAAGGACAAUGAGUAUCGAUUCCGAAAGGAGGAGGCAAUCUCUAAACCUUACCACAGUUAUGAUUGAGGGCUGAAACUCGCCCUCAUGAAUAUGGAAUCCCUAGUAACCGCGUGUCACUAUCGCGCGGUGAAUACGUCCCUGCUCCUUGCACACACCGCCCGUCGCUUCAUCGAAGUUGGUUCUUGGCGGGGUGAUGCCUAAUUGGUACUAUCGAACCUGGGGUCAGCAACGAGGGAG